GGAGGGGCACCGGCAGAGCUGGGGGGGAAGGGGGAAGCCCAGGGCUGAGCCAGCAGGGGGCUGUGGGUCGCUGUGGGUCAGGAUGGAGGGGCACUGGCAGAGCUGGGAGGGGGGAAGCCCAGGACUGGGUCAGCAGGGGGCUGUGGGUCGGGACUGUGGGGCAUCAGCUGCGUGGACUGACUUCAUGAGCCCUCCUGAACUGUGCGGUUCUCAGCUGGUGCCAUGUACUCCAUCGUUUUCAAGGAGCACUAAAUUCACCUCCCCAGAUGUAGAGAAAUAAAACGCAGGUUAAAAGCCCCUGAGCGGGGGACGGCGGAUGAGAGAGGAGCAGCAUUGCACCCUGUGAUGAGGACAGCCAGCACGCAGGGUGAGACGCGGACAGACAUUCACCGCAAGGGCCGUUACCUUCCUUAACGACCUGCACGAUCCUCAUAGUGAAGUAAUUGUACAUCCCGUUCUGCUCCACCUUCACCAGCUGAGCUUUAUAGACUGGGGGAGAAGAUGGCAGUCAGAGAUCUGUUAAAGCCCGAAGGCACCAUCGUGACCGUCUAGGUGGAUCUACAGAAUACAGGCCAGAUACCACGGUGAAGGGGGUGUCUGCAGGGGACUGGACUUGAUGACCCAGAGGGUCCCUUCCAGAUCUGUGUCUUAUGGGACAAGAACCUGUACAGAAUAGAAUCAAAUCCCACCCACUGGGGCAAAGGGGCAACACCAGUUGUCAUCUAGAAUCCCACUUGCUCAGCGCUUGGCUGCUUCCUUGAUCAGUGAGGGCAUGGGAUGUAGGGUCCUAAAUCAAUGGGUCUCAGGCACUAAAGGGGAACCUGCAGGUGGGGGUGGGAAUGGGCUUGAUCCAGGUUGUCUUGCUGUGUAAAAGGCCUGGGGGAAGAUACAUGAUGAAUUCAGACUCUUCCCCACCCCCCCACCAGAGGGCUCUGUGUUUGCCCAGAGAGCGGAUCUCCCAGGCAUGGCUGUCCUCAGUCUAACUGGGAACGGGGAGUGGGUUUUAUUCAGACUGUUUAAAACUUGGUGGGUUUUAAAUAUUUAACUCAAAUGGCUGAGCAACAGGUGGGGAAAAAACACUUGUUAAAAAAGUUCAGCCAUUCAUUUCAGAUAAAUCAUUGUACCUAGGUCUUAUCAUCAUUAGAUCUCAAAUUAGGUCAGUAUCAUUAUCCCCAUUUUAUAGUUGGGAAAACUGAGGCACUGAAGGGAUAUGACCUGCCCAAGGUCACCCAGCAGGCCAGAGGCAGGAACAGAUCCCAGCUCUGCUGAGUCCCAGCCCAGAGCCCCCAUCUCUGUAUCAGCCAAGGAAUGUGGUGGAGUCCACAUGUACCCUGUUACAUGGCCUGCUGCCACUACGCUCAUUGCAAUUAUCUCUGCCCAGAUCAGGAGUUCAUUGCCUCUGGGAUCACUGGUAGAUCUCGCCCCACCACCCCCCAGCUUUGGCCCUCCCUUGGACAACAGCUGAUCAGGAGAAAUAGGGCCAGAACACAGGGCCUGUCUUACCAUAAUCCACCCCAGCCUCACACGCGGCUUCGAUGCGGACAGAGAUGUCAGCAGGGGGUUGUUUAAAUUUCUUGAUCAGGCUGCAUUUCUCUGGGGACAGAAGCAGACGAUCCUAGUGAAGUAGCAGGUUUACAGCCCCUUUCACACCAGGCUUUCGCUGCCCUUUACGGACAUGAAUGAAUUCAGCUUCAGAGCCCCUUUGGGUGAUGGGUGGGCGUCACCCUCAUUGCACAGACAAGGAAGCUGUGGCAUAAACAGGGCAAUGAGUUUGCCCUAGGUCACAUGAUGAAUCAAUGGCAGAGGUGGGAAUAGAAUCCAGGAGUCCUGACGCCCAGCCCUCCACUGCUCUGACCACUAGUCCCCGCUCGCUUCCCAGAGCGGGGAAUAGAACCCCGGAAUCCUGACGCCCAGGCCUGUGCCCCCUCCCUGUGGGAAGGUCCCAGAGGCAGCCGGAGAUCAGGGCCUGGCCAAGGGGAAGAGGUCACUUUGCAUGUUAUCUGUACGAAGGUGGGAGCUGGAAGCGUCCACAGAUUCUCCCCACCAGAGAAUCAGGGAGGGAGAGUUCUAGGAGCGCAAUCUGGACCCAGAACCAUUAAAUCCCCCAAGCUCGCCCCACGCUGAGGGCUGCUGAUCCCAGAGCUGCCACGGGCCAGCACCCGGCAGGAUAGUGCAUUGGUGCUGCAUCCCCCGUGCUCUCACUGGCCCAAGCCCACUAGGUCAGUUGUGGUUCCAACCUGUAGCAUAGAAGCCAGUGAAGGGACAGGGCAGAGAAAUUUCCCCCUCCCUUUGGUCUCCCUUUACCUUCCAUGCAACGGCAGGCGUCUUCCUCACACAGCACCUUCAGCAAGCCGCUGUCUUGGGUUGGAUGGUAAAAUUUUGUGCAGCGGUUUUCUGAGAGAGAGAGAAAAGGUUUGUUACUAAGUGUAUAAUGGUAACACCUAGAGUUUGAGUUCACACCAUGCACAGAUGCACAAUGGGAGACAGACCCCCGUGCUGGGACACGGACACUCACACAGUGAGAGCAGGGCUGCCUCGUGCCAGAUGCUGUACCAACAGCGAGAGACGGUCCCUGCCCCGAAGCACUACGGGUAAAGGACGGGUUAUUCUGUCCAGAAAAUCUGGCUUUGAUUCCCUGGGGAAUCUCUUUGUGUACUUGAGGAUUUUAUCCAGCUGCCCAUCACUGUAGUAUCUGGGCAUCUUCCAUGUAAAAUCGCUAGCGAAGUCCUUUGUGAACUUAAUGGAGACUCUGGCUUGUCUCCCUUUUUAGAGCUAAAACUCAGCUGGGGAAGGGGUUUGAUUUUAUUUUUGAGAUUUUAUUUCUGUUGCCCAUCCUGUACUGCCCCCUCCUGGCCUAGUGUGGCACUGCAAGCACCUUCUGCUUCAGUUUCCCUUUAGAACUCCACACAAAAUGUACACGUCCAAAUUCCCCUGCCGGGGUUCUUCUCUAUGAAACACAAAUAAAAUUGAAUUCAAGGCUUUUCCCUUAGGGUCAGGGGGGUUGCACAGCCACCUGCCUUUAUGGGGCCUCUGUUUCUCCUGGCACUCCUCACCUUUAGGAGGGCUUCUCUCUAUCAGUACCCCCUACUAAUGAUGGGCUUUUAUCAUGCCCAGGUGCUCGUUAGUCAAUUAACUACCCAGGUGGGCUCAUUCCCCUUAAAUUAGCUCCUCAGAGGUCUGGAUGCUCUGGUUUAAAGAGGCCAGCAAACUGGUGAUCAUUUCCUUUGGGGGGGGCAGAAGGGGACGGAAGUGUUAUUCUUAUGGUAGAAAGGCUGUUUCCAGAAAGGAAACUGAGUCAUAGAGUGACAAGGUCAAAAGCAGAGCUGGGGAAUCAAAUCCAGAUUUCCUGCCUCACAGGCUAGUGCCCCAGGCACUGCCCUGGUUUGCCUCCCUGAAGAGCUAGUGGGGUGAUAAGGCUCAAGCCUGUCCUGACUGGGUGGCACACUGCACCAGGGUUCUGUCUGACUGUUCGCUGGGGCCAGCGUGCUUUGCUGGGCGCUAACGAGAUGAGCGAGUGAUGAAUGCUCUAACCCAGGGAGUAGUACUCGUACACCAUCACGGCGGCCGGCUGGAUCAGACCCACUUCGAAGUGCUGGAACUGGGCUGAGAACCCACCACACAGCCACCAGCUGAGAACACCUACCGCUGCCCCAGUCUGUGACCGAGAAUGACCAAGAGGUGAAAGGCACCAAGCCCCUGAGUCAUGACCCAACAAGCAUCAGGAGGUUGUGAUGCCCUCCCCAGAUUGCUAAAUUUGUGUGUGUGUGAUCCUGGCAUGGAAGAGGUUAAAACCCCUGCCCGAACCACCACUCUUAGGUUGGUCCCAGGGGAGCAGCCAACUCCCCACGCAUUGAGGGGGUGGGGCUCACCUUAUCCAAGUCGUCCAUGUCUGGGGAGAAGCCGGUGGGCAUGGAGACGUCUAGGAUGGUCAUGGUGGAGUCCACCGUUCCCAGGAACCUGGAGGAUGCAGAGAGGAUUUGGCUAGGAAAACACCCGCCAGGCAACAAAGCGGAUCCUCUCUGGAGGCCACCGGCACUGACCAGUGGACGCUGGCUGGACGAAGCCACUGGGGAGGCUGCUAGCCCAGCCAACUGCCUCCACGGCCCUUCCUGGUUGCAGCGGGAGAGGGGACGCGUGGAUCCCAAGUAGCACCAAUUCAGGGACAGUAACCACUAGACCAGAGGUUCUCAAACUUCAUUGCAUUGCAACUGCCUUCUGACAAGAAAAAUUACUACAUGACCCCAGGAGGGGGGACUGAAGCCUGAGUCUGCCUGAGCCCCACCGCCCAGCAUAGGGGGCCAAAGCCUGAACCCCACCACCCAGGGCAGGGGUCCAAAGCAGACGCCUGAGGGCUUCAGCCCCAGGCAGGGGGCCUGUAAACUAAGCCCCAUCACCCAGCAUGGAGGGUCAAAGCCUGAGCCCCACUGCUCAGGGCUUUAGCCCCAGGCCUCAGCACGUCUAAUGCCAGCCCUGGCAACCCCAUUAAAAUGCGGUCAUGACCCACCGUUUGAGAGCCGCUGCACUAAACGGAGACAUGGACACACACCUCAAGCCAGGAUCUGACACACUCUCCACCAUUCUAGGGUGGGGGGCGGCUGUGUGGGGGGGUGAUGGCUGCCGGGGAUGACUCACCGCAUGCAGAUCUGGAUGAACACAGAGGCCAGGGCUCCUUCUGGCUUCUUGGCUGCAAAGACCGAUCAACACAGCAGGGGGGUCACAUUCCUGUCUCAUCAGUGGUGCCCCCCCACACCACCAGACCCAUUUAAAAAUGGUUCCGGAGAGGAAACGCACCAGGAUCAUCCCAAAUUUAUUCCCAGGGGAGGACUCCCCCCUCCUCAGGGAUUCCCCCACCCCACUUACAGACACAGUCACACAAGAUGGGCACCAAACUAUCCCAGCCUGUUGUACACUGGUCCUUAUCCUGCUCCCGUCACCCAGUCGCUCAUCUAAGCGACAUGAUUCUCAUCUGUCCUGUGUGGUUACUUGUCUCUCUUUCAGUGCCUCUUUGUCCUCGUGUCUCCUUUGGGAAGUGCUUGGGACCUGACAGUUAAAGGUACAUUGGUGUUUACCUCUCAGUGGUUUCAAUAGGAGCUAGGUGCCUAAAGACCUUUAAAUAUCUGUCCCUUUGAGAUCCACUGAUGAAAAGCGCUAGAUCAGAGCUCCGGGCUAUUGCUCUUUCCGCACAGGACUUCUCCUCUCUCUCCAAAGUAUUUCUCUGGGCCCCAUCGCCAUACUAUCUGAGCACCUCACAGUCUGCCCUUGUUGUGGGGGAGGGAAGUCCCAUUUUCCCCCCAUUUCCAGAUAGGGAAACUGAGGCACAGAGAGACUAAAUGACCGGCCCAAGGUCAGACAGGAAUCUGUGGCAGAGCAGAAUUGAACACGGGUCCUUGACUAGGCUCCUUCCUUUGUAUGCAGCUCUCUCACAUCCUCUCAGUUCCUCCCUUCUCAUAAACCGCCCUAAUCUUUUCAAUCUCUGAUACAGUUUUCCAGGGAAGUGUCAGUUGUGACUAGUUUGUCUGCCAAGUGCAAGUUGCUUCCGUCAUGGGAAGAAAAAGGAUCUUGUGGUUACUGGUAUGCAAAUCAGGAGCCCUAGGUUUUAGUCCCAGCUCUGGCAGAGGGGUGCGGUCUAAUGGUUAGAGCAGGGGGACUAGGAAUCAGAACUCCUAGGUUCUAUCCUUGGAGGGGAAUGGGGGUCUAGUGGCCCAGGUGGGGAAUAGGAGCCAGGGUUCUAUACCCAACAGUGCUGCUGAGUGACCUGUGCCUUAGUUUCCCCAUCUCUAAGCGGCUAACACGUUCCCCACCACACUGGGACCUAAUUAGGUUCUGAGAUCAAAGCCUGUUGAAGAAGCAAUUUUUCUUUUAGUGGGGAAAUUCAUCCACACCCCAAUCUUCUUCCCCAGCCCCUUGCAGCUCCCGGCUAAUCAUGAGCCACGGGAGCAGUUGCUGGGAGAACCCCUUGCUCAAAUGCUGACCGUGCACCCCUGCUCCAAGCAAGCCCCAAGCAAGCAGCUGGAGCCCGGUUCUGAAACAGCCUGAGCCCCAAAUAAAGCCCAGAUCUUCCCCCGCAGUGACUCUGAAGAUGGAGACAGAAGCAAAUCAACAAGGUCUUUCUCUACAGGGGAGCUUGUGAUGCAGUCUGAUUGAACCGAUGAACGAUAAUGCCAUGGUUACACAAUUGCAACAAGUCUUGUACAAAGCGUGUCAUAUGAGGUGUCAAUGGAAAAGUGAUGCUUUGCUAAGUAGGACUGUCCUGUUCAUAUGCAUGUAUCAUCUGUGUACCUAAAAUUACGACUAUUGGCCAGGGACUUCUAUUUUACACAUGUGCUGUAUUCCUGGGUAACACCCACCAGAUAAGAUUUACAUCAAGGCUAGACAGCUGUGUGGUGAUGGCCCAUUAAGGACACUUCACCCUAACAAUGGGCCACAGGCAAUGGCUGCCCCUGUGAAUUAUCGAACUUCCCAAGGAGGGGUGAUCAUUGUCCAUGUGACCCAGACUCCAUCUCAGGCCAGUCACUUUGCACAAACAGGUUUCAGAGUAGCAGCCGUGUUAGUCUGUAUUUUCCACUGAAUGCAUCCGAUGAAGUGAGCUGCAGCUCAUGAAAGCUUAUGCUCAAAUAAAUUGGUUAGUCUCUAAGGUGCCACAAGUCCUCCUGUUCUUUUUGCACAAACAGAGACAACAUGUCCCUAGGCACAUGGCAGAGGAGAUAGAAGACCCCUGAGACAGCUUCAUUUUGCCACUUUCCUUCCCUGAUUCUCUGGCCUGUGGAUUUACAGUUAGAAGGAGCAUUUUGAGCUAUAUGGAUUACGGACCUUCGAAUCUUUUGGAAGUUCCCAGAGAGACUUUACAAGCCAGCCAUCUAUUGCAUCGUUGCUACAGGACUUUGCAAUUAUUUGUAUGUAUAUUAUCUUUUCUUCUUUUCUUUUCUUAUUAAACCUUUAGUUUUAGUUACUA